AUGAAGUUUCUUUAUGUGUUACCUGGCUGGGAGGGUUCAGUUUCAUACUCAAGAGUUUUGCGUGAUGCAAUGAGGACAAACCACAAAGAUGCUUUUGUUGUGCCUAAGGGGAAAUACUUUUUAGUGGAUGCUGGUUAUACCAAUGGAGAAGGAUUUCUAGCUCCAUUCAGGUCCACUCGGUAUCAUCUAAAAGAAUGGGCUGCAAGUGUACAACAACCUCAAUCCGAGAGGGAGUUAUAUAACUUGCGCCAUUCUCGUGCUAGGAAUGUAGUGGAGCGAACAUUUGGCUUGUUCGAGAAAAAAUGGGCUAUCUUGCGUUCCCAGUCCUUCUUUGCCAUAAAGGAUCAGGUACCAAAGGUAAAUAUGGUGUCAAAUAAAAUAAAUCUGUGA
rnacentral:rRNA from 1 species